GUGUAUCACGCGGACUUUACGGUUCUGAGCGCGCCGUCCACGCCCACCUGACGGUUGCUCGCGAGGUGUUGUUAGCC
rnacentral:sRNA from 1 species